AUGAGGCUUCAAAAGCCAGAUCAGUGGCAUCUUAUGUACAUGUAAUUAGAACAAGAGGUAGACAAAAUCAACGGUACAUGUAAAUAGUUCAUGAGGUAUGGUGUAUGUGGUGUCAUAGGAACAUGCUACAGUCAUGUAAAAAAGUUCACGAGUUAGGCAACAUCGUAGGUACAUGUAAAGUUCUCGAGUUAGGCAACAUCGUAGGUACAUGUAAAGUUCUCGAGGUAGGCGGCAUCAUAGGUGCCUGUGAAAAGUUCACGAGGUAGGCGGCAUCAUAGGUGCCUGUGAAAAGUUCACGAGGUAGUCGGUAUCAUAGAUACAUUUAAAUAGUUCUCGAGGUAGGCGGCAUCAUAGAUACAUUUAAAUAGUUCACGAGGUAGGCGGCAUCAUAGAUACAUUUAAAUAGUUCACGAGGUAGGCGGCAUCACAGAUACAUUUAAAUAGUUCACGAGGUAGGCGGCAUCACAGGUACAUGUGAAUAAUUCACGAGGUAGGCGGCAUAAUAGGUAUAUGUAAAUAGUUCAUGUGGUAGGCAGCUUCAUAUGAACAUGUAAAUUAAUCAUGAGGCAGGUGCAUUAUAUAUUCAUGUACAUAUUUCACGAGACAGUGACAUCAUAGGUACAUGUAAAUAGAGAAUGAGUUAGGCGGCAUCAAAUGAUCAUGUAAAUGGUUCAUGAAGUUGGCGGCAUCAGAAGUACAUGUGAAUAAUUCAUGAGGUAAGCGGCAUCAUAGGUUAAAAGCUCAUGAGAUAGCCGAGUAAAAAAAAAUGAACAGAUAUAUCUUCAAAGAGAAACCAUUUUUUUAUCUGAAGCAUUUGAACUGUUUUACAUUUUGUUACACAUGACAUUGUGUGUUGACAGGUAAAAUGUGUUUCUAUUGCUGCUAAUCCACAUAACCGAAAACAAUCAUUAUAAGGCUUAGCGUUUUUUAACUGAACAAAAAGACAACUUAUUCAUCGACGAUUUGACACGAUACUUAUUCGAUAAAGUUCAAUUGAAGGUUACCAACUUUUCAAGGACCAUACCCUUCUGAAGAAUACACUUUACCCCAAGGAUUGACAUGUUUUAAGAAGUAUAAUAACAUACUUCAGACCUCCCUCGUUUGGCGGUGAAGACCGUUGUUAAAACUGGAUGUCCCUCUGGCGUUCCUGGAUGUAUAGAUACGCAGUCAUGCCCGAUUGGAAUGCUCUCUUAAGUUACGACAACUCUUUGCGGCUUUCAUAAGUGUUCUGUUGCAUCGCAAAAUUUGUGUCUCUAUCCAACAACAUUUUUCAGUGGCAGUUUAGGCCCUUCAUCCCAGUUGAUAUUCUUUAUCAAAUUGAAUUAUUGCAUUAAUGUUUUAUUUUUUCUCGAUCUGAAUAUGAUAAAAUAU